rnacentral:rRNA from 1 species
AUGAACACUGGCGAAACAUAUGACCAAGAGUCCACAGGACCUAGAUCAUCGACUCUGCCCAGCACUCCUAUGCUACUCCAUGAUUGUGAAUCUACCCGUGCAUCCAUAUCUACAGUCCUUUCCAUAGAUGAUGAUGCAGCAGAGGACACAGUUGCUAUUGAAGCUAAAGCUCAUGCACCUGCUCAACAUAGUGAAUGGGAGCAAAGAAAAGCUUGCCAGGGGUUGAUUCCUUGCCGUGAGGCACAUGAGGGGAGGCUGCUGAUGGGGGCUAACCUGGCUAUCGAGGGACAUGCUAGCGAGAUAUGCACAAGGGCAAUGUUUGGGCGUAUAUUUUAUGAGUGUGGCGCAUACCAGGUUUUAUAUGCGAAGAAGAACAGAUCAUAUCUUGCAAUGAUGGAGGGUGGGGAUGACUUUGACUGUGAGUGUGGGCAGUUCGCCCACAUGGGUAUACUACACACCCAUGUUUUUGAGUGCAUGGCUGCAGCAGCAGCAUCAGUUCUGACUGAUGAAAACCAAGGAGAGCAAGGGUGUAAUCUAAAGAUAUGUUGA